CUAUACAUGCAGUCGAGCGAACAGGAUAAGGAGCUUGCUCCUUUGAAGUUAGCGGCGGACGGGUGAGUAACACGUGGGUAACCUACCUAUAAGACUGGAAUAACUUCGGGAAACCGGAGCUAAUGCCGGAUAACAUAUAGAACCGCAUGGUUCUAUAGUGAAAGAUGGUUUUGCUAUCACUUAUAGAUGGACCCGCGCCGUAUUAGCUAGUUGGUAAGGUAAUGGCUUACCAAGGCGACGAUACGUAGCCGACCUGAGAGGGUGAUCGGCCACACUGGAACUGAGACACGGUCCAGACUCCUACGGGAGGCAGCAGUAGGGAAUCUUCCGCAAUGGGCGAAAGCCUGACGGAGCAACGCCGCGUGAGUGAUGAAGGUUUUCGGAUCGUAAAACUCUGUUAUUAGGGAAGAACAAAUGCGU
rnacentral:rRNA from 1 species